rnacentral:hammerhead_ribozyme from 1 species
GUACCGAUGAAGAGUCCCAAACUAGGACGAAACAGUUGUUCAGUAC